rnacentral:rRNA from 1 species
GAUGAACGCUGACAGAAUGCUUAACACAUGCAAGUCUUUGGCGAAUCUGUGCUUGCACAGGCUAGCCAAGGCGGACGGGUGAGUAACGCGUAAAGAACUUGCCCUGCAGACAGGGAUAACAGACGGAAACGACUGAUAACACCUGAUACAGUUGCCGGCACGCAUGUGCCUGGCAAUGAAAAGAGAUGCUGCAGGAGAGCUUUGCGUCCUAUUAGCUUGUUGGUGAGGUGACGGCUCACCAAGGCGAUGAUAGGUAGCCGGCCUGAGAGGGUGAACGGCCACAAGGGGACUGAGAUACGGCCCUUACUCCUACGGGAGGCAGCAGUGGGGAAUAUUGGACAAUGGGGGCAACCCUGAUCCAGCAAUUCUGUGUGCACGAAGAAGGUUUUCGGAUUGUAAAGUGCUUUCAGAAGGGAAGAAGAAAGUGACGGUACCUGCAGAAGAAGCGACGGCUAAAUACGUG